rnacentral:rRNA from 1 species
AUGUGCAUCUCGAAGGCUAGGGAGGAAAACCUUGUUCUCACACUUGAGGAAGGAUGUUGUUUGAGCAGUACACGAGGUCCAAUACGCCAUCUUGUCAUUAGCAGCAACUGGAAAAGAGCUAAAGAUGUGUUUGAUAGUAUGCUGGACUUGUGGCAUGUGAGAUCACUGACUGUGUAUGGAGAGUGGAGACCGUAUUUCAUCUCUGAGAAGAUGAGGUUCCUCCGAGUGCUCGAUUUGGAGGACACAUUACGGUUCAAAAAUCACCAUCUUGAUGAAAUUGGGCAGCUGCAUCACCUCAGAUACCUCUCUAUACGAGAAAAUAUUUGGUACCUUCCUAACUCUAUUGGGAAUUUGAGCCACCUCCAAACACUGGAUAUCAAAGGCACGCGUAUAUUUGAACUGCCAGCAACUGUCACUAAGCUUCGCAAGCUACGACAUCUCCGUACAACUGGCUCUUUGCUUGGCACAGAAAAUGAGAAUGGUAGGGUUUUUUACAAGUAUUGGAAGAUGGAUUGUAUGCGUCGCCAUUCCAUGACAUGGUUCCACUGCAGAUGUUUGCAAUGCCAGGGAAGAAUGUGUCAUGGAGGGCCCGCCCUUUUGUUGUCUCUAGUCAAAUUAUAUUGGAGUACACAACGUUCAGAACUUGGUUGGAACAUGCACGAUAUAUUGAACCUGCACCGCUCUCUCUGGGCGUGUUUACACAAAUGUGUGGAUGGUGUUAAAGCUCCGGGAGGGACUGGAAAAUUGGCGUCCCUGCAAACACUGGGUGUUGUGAACGUUACAAGGGGAAAGGAAAAGGUUAUAAAGGAGCUCAGUGCACUUACUCAGCUGCGUAAGCUAGGUGUGGCUGGUAUCAAGGAGGGAAACGGGAAGAGGUCCUGGUCUGCUAUUGCUGCUCACAACCAACUUCGUUCUUUGACAGUGCAUGGCGAUGAUAUAGAUGGUUGUUUGGGUACGGUUAUUUUGAAAGGUGAGUGGGUUGGUGUUCUUUCUUGGGAAGUUCGUUUGGGUGGGGGUCUGUUUCCACCAGAACACCUUGAGAGCCUCAAGUUGAUCGGCCGUCUACACAAAGUACCGCAAUGGAUGCAACGCCUACAGUAUCUAUCAAAGUUGGACCUAAAGGGCAGCAGAUUGGACAAAGCAGAUGAGAUAGAAACCCUCGGGAGUCUACCAAAUCUUGCAGUUUUACGACUGAGGGGUGGGGCAAUAGUAUUGGAGCAUCUGCAUUUCGUAGGCCCAUCUUUCCCGAUCCUCCUGGCGCUCGAGCUUAACGGAGAGCCCAACUUGGUUACGUUUGAAAAAAGACGUGAUGCCUAA